CCGAUGUUGAAACACCAGUUCCCGUACGAUCAUCGAAGUUAAGCAAAGUUGAGUUUCUACAGUACCUAGAUGGGUGACCGAUUGAGAAUACCAGGUGGCCG